rnacentral:rRNA from 1 species
GGUUGAUCCUGCCGGAGGCUACUGCCAUCAGAGUUCGAUUAAGCCAUGUUAGUCGAGGGUGCUUCUUCUUCGGAAGAAGUAACCCGGCGGACGGCUCAGUAACACGUGGAUAACUUGCCCUUGGGUCCGGGAUAACCCCUGAGAAAUUGGGGACAAUACCGGAUAGGGCAUCGAUAGCUGGAAUGCACGAUGUCCAAAAGCUGAGGCGCCCAAGGAUAGGUCUGCGGCUGAUUAGGUUGUUGUUGAUGUAAUGGAUCAACAAGCCUGCAAUCGGUACGGGUUGUGAGAGCAAGAGCCCGGAGAUGGGUUCUGAGAAAAGAACCCAGGUCCUACGGGACGCAUCAGGCGCGAAAACUUUACAAUGUGCGAAAGCACGAUAAGGGAACUCUGAGUGCCUCCUAUGGAGGCUGUUCAGGUGUCUAAAAAGCACUUGAAGUAAGGGCUGGGUAAGACCGGUGCCAGCCGCCGCGGUAACACCGGCAGCCCAAGUGGUAGCCACGAUUAUUGGGUCUAAAGCGUCCGUAGCCGGCCAGGUAAGUUCUUUGGGAAAUUUAACCGCUCAACGGUUAAGCUUUCAGGGAAUACUGCUUGGCUUGGGACCGGGAGAGGUCAGAGGUACUUCAAGGGUAGGGGUGAAAU